GUCGCGUUGAAAUAGUCGGCGAGAAAAUGCGCCGGCGAGCAGAUAUCCGCCUCCAGCGAUCCGAUUAUUGGCACGUUGAUGGUGCGCAACAUCUGUAGCACUCUCGUCGGAUCGUCGCACACAUCUGAAAUUUCACGUUUUAUUGAUUUCAUUCCGGUUCGCAAGAAACUUAUAUGAAAAGAAAAGAAUAGGAAUAUGUAAUGGAAUAUUCAACAUGCACUCACGUACGAGUAUAAACCAUUGAACAAAUUUUAAUAAAUUUUAGAUAGUCUGGAUUUUGGGAAACUUAAUAGGGAGACUACUUUUUGUUGCAAAAAUAAAAUUUUGAGAAAACAAAAUAGAAACUGAGAAAUUGUUAAAAAUAUAUAUAAAACUAGCUUUUGCCCGCGACGUCGGCCCGGUAGUGUUUAAUAAAAAUGUAAUUCGUUUUUACUCUCUUGUUCUAGACAUAGUAUGUGUCAAUUCUAUCAAUAAGAUUAGUAAUUUUAUUUUGAAGAAAUUAAUUGUAUAAAGAAUGGCUAAAAAUGCACUUCAGCGCGUCAUCUCGGAUUCAACUAUUUAACUAUAACUAUGAUUGAAUCCCAAUGCCAACUAUAGAAAAGGGCUGUUUUCCCGGCAAUUAUUCGAAGUUUUCUCGCCGUAAAAACCAUCCUUGGACUUCAACACACAUUUAAAAAACAAGAAUUGGCCAAAUUGGUCUUGGAGUUGUUGAGUUAUGCGCUUACCAACAGAUUUUGCAAUUCAUUUUUAUAUUAUAAAUGUAGUGCAAUAUGAUUUGUUUAAGAAAAUUAAACUGCAAACUUCAGAAAACCUC